rnacentral:rRNA from 1 species
UACAGAGGUGGCAAGCGUUGUUCGGAAUUAUUGGGCGUAAAGAGCUCGUAGGCGGUUUGUCGCGUCUGCCGUGAAAGUCCGGAGCUCAACUCCGGAUCUGCGGUGGGUACGGGCAGACUAGAGUGAUGUAGGGGAGACUGGAAUUCCUGGUGUAGCGGUGAAAUGCGCAGAUAUCAGGAGGAACACCGAUGGCGAAGGCAGGUCUCUGGGCAUUAACUGACGCUGAGGAGCGAAAGCAUGGGGAGCGAACAGG